GGGGUGUGGAGGGAGGGAAGGCUGGGGGGAGGUGGGGUGUGGAGGGAGGGAAGGCUGGGGGGAGGUGGGGUGUGGAGGGAAGGAAGGCUGGGGGGAGGCGGGGUGUGGAGGGAGGGAAGGCUGGGGGGAGGUGGGGUGUGGAGGGAAGGAAGGCUGGGGGGAGGUGGGGUGUGGAGGGAAGGAAGGCUGGGGGAGGAGGGGUGUGGAGGGAAGGAAGGCUGGGGGAGGAGGGGUGUGGAGGGAGGGAAGG